rfam:Medicago truncatula strain A17 chromosome 8, whole genome shotgun sequence.
AACAACUCCAGUUGUCCAGUGUUUGGUUUGUAAAACAGUUUCAGGGACAGGACAAACUGGAGGCAAGGGACAGGACAA